UACGAAGGGUGCAAGCGGUAAUCGGAAUUACUGGGCGUAAAGCGCGCGUGGGUGGUUCAGUAAGUUGGAAGUGAAAUCCCCGGGCUCAACCUGGGAACUACUUUCAAAACUGCUGAGCUAGAGUACGGUAGAGGGUGGUGGAAUUUCCUGUGUAGCGGUGAAAUGCGUAGAUAUAGGAAGGAACACCAGUGGCGAAGGCGACCACCUGGACUGAUACUGACACUGAGGUGCGAAAGCGUGGGGAGCAAACAGG
rnacentral:rRNA from 1 species